AUCACCUGGAGAUCUUAUUAAAAAGCAGAUUUGGAUUUAGAAGGUCAAGGGUAGACCCUGAGAUUCUGCAUUUCUAAUAGGCUCUCAGGUGAUAAUGA
rnacentral:pre_miRNA from 1 species